UACGUAGGGUGCAAGCGUUGUCCGGAAUUAUUGGGCGUAAAGAGCUCGUAGGCGGUCUGUCGCGUCGGCUGUGAAAACUCGGGGCUCAACCCCGAGCCUGCAGUCGAUACGGGCAGACUAGAGUGCUGUAGGGGAGACUGGAAUUCCUGGUGUAGCGGUGAAAUGCGCAGAUAUCAGGAAGAACACCCGUGGCGAAAGCAGCUUUCUGGGACGGUACUGACGCUGAGACGCGAAAGCGUGGGGAGCGAACAGG
rnacentral:rRNA from 1 species